AUUGAACGCUGGCGGCAUGCCUUACACAUGCAAGUCGAACGGUAACAGGUCUUCGGACGCUGACGAGUGGCGAACGGGUGCGUAAUACAUCGGAACGUGCCCGAUCGUGGGGGAUAACGAGGCGAAAGCUUUGCUAAUACCGCAUACGAUCUACGGAUGAAAGCGGGGGAUCUUCGGACCUCGCGCGGACGGAGCGGCCGAUGGCAGAUUAGGUAGUUGGUGGGAUAAAAGCUUACCAAGCCGACGAUCUGUAGCUGGUCUGAGAGGAUGAUCAGCCACACUGGGACUGAGACACGGCCCAGACUCCUACGGGAGGCAGCAGUGGGGAAUUUUGGACAAUGGGCGAAAGCCUGAUCCAGCCAUGCCGCGUGCAGGAUGAAGGCCUUCGGGUUGUAAACUGCUUUUGUACGGAACGAAAAGCCUCUUUCUAAUAAAGAGGGGUCAUGACGGUACCGUAAGAAUAAGCACCGGCUAACUACGUG
rnacentral:rRNA from 1 species